GGACAUUCUCAAGGUGAUGGGGAUCACUGCAGGUUUUCUGGCCACCUUGGUUUUAUUGAUCCUCAUCCCUUAAAGCAGCACAAAGAAUAUAGCUUCAGUUGAAAGGUUCAUGACCUGCAAAGAACUCAUUAAACAGUCACUAAACCAUCAGUCCUGGCUGACUUCUGUCCACUGGAUGCUACAGAGAGAUGAUUGAUCCCAGGCUGGGAAAUUCGCACUAUACAAAGUAUAUAUAACAAAUAAGCAGUACUGAAAUAAGCAGUACUGAAUGUUGAAAAUAAAAUAAAAUAUAAGGUGCAGUGAACUGCAUGAGUAAAAACAUA